UCAGGAUGUCUUGGAAACCUCGAGAAGAGAGGAAUUCACCCAAAUCUACAGGUUUCUCCAUAACCUAGAUGACCCGGGUCACCACCAACCAGAUGUUACUUCACCGUUAUGCACCUCAGGAUGUCUUGGAAACCUCGAGAAGAGAGGAAUUCACCCAAAUCUGCAGGUACCACAUCCUUUCUAGUGAGAAGGUCAGAAUUAAAAAGAAGGUAAUGAUGACUGAUAGAAUCCAGACCUGAGUACCGCCUUUUGAGUAAGCUCACCCACCAUCACAGAG